GCGACCGGGUGAGUAACACGUGACUAACCUACCUUUUAGUGGGGGAUAACAUCGGGAAACCGAUGCUAAUACCGCAUAACAUCGCAAGAUCAAAGCAGCAAUGCGCUUGGAGAGGAGUUCGCGGUCGAUUAGCUAGUUGGCGGGGUAAUGGCCCACCAAGGCGAUGAUCGAUAUCCGGCCUGAGAGGGCGCACGGACACACUGGAACUGAAACACGGUCCAGACUCCUACGGGAGGCAGCAGUGGGGAAUUUUGCGCAAUGGGGGAAACCCUGACGCAGCAACGCCGCGUGGAGGAUGAAGCCCCUUGGGGCGUAAACUCCUUUCGAUGGGGAAGAUAAUGACGGUACCCAUAGAAGAAGCCCCGGCUAACUUCGUGCCAGCAGCCGCGGUAAUACGAGGGGGGCAAGCGUUGUUCGGAUUUAUUGGGCGUAAAGGGUGCGUAGGCGGCUUGGCAAGUCUUGUGUGAAAUCUAUGGGCUCAACCCAUAGCCUGCACGAGAAACUACCGGGCUUGAGUGAUGGAGAGGUGAGUGGAAUUUCCGGUGUAGCGGUGAAAUG
rnacentral:rRNA from 1 species